AUUGAACGCUGGCGGCAGGCCUAACACAUGCAAGUCGAGCGAGCGGCGGACGGGUGAGUAAUGUCUGGGGAUCUGCCUGAUGGCGGGGGAUAACUACUGGAAACGGUAGCUAAUACCGCAUACCAUCAGAUGUACCCAUAUGGGAUUAGCUAGUAGGUAGGGUAAUGGCUCACCUAGGCGACGAUCCCUAGCUGGUCUGAGAGGAUGACCAGCCAAACUGGGACUGAGACACGGCCCAGACUCCGACGGGAGGCAGCAGUGGGGAAUAUUGCACAAUGGGCGCAAGCCUGAUGCAGCCAGGCCGCGUGUGUGAAGAAGGCCUUCGGGUUGUAAAGUACUUUCAGCGGGGAGGCGUUACCGGCAGAAGAAGCACCGGCUAACUCCGUGCCAGCAGCCGCGGUAAUAC
rnacentral:rRNA from 1 species